AACGAACGCUGGCGGCAUGCCUAACACAUGCAAGUCGAACGAGACCUUCUGGUCUAGUGGCGCAAGGGUGCGGAACGCGUGGGAAUCUUCCCUUGGGGUGGGGAUAACAGAUGGAAACGACUGGUAAUACCGGAUGAUGACGUAAGUCCAAAGAUUUAUCGCCCAAGGAUGAGCCCGCGUAGGAUUAGCUAGUUGGUGAGGUAAAGGCUCACCAAGGCGACGAGCCUUAGCUGGUCUGAGAGGAUGCUCAGACACACUGGGACUGAGACACGGCCCAGACUCCUGCGGGAGGCAGCAGUGGGGAAUAUUGGACAAUGGGAGAGAGCCUGAUCCAGAAGUGCCGCGUGAGUGAUGAAGGCCUUAGGGUUGUAAAGCUCUUUUACCCGGGAUGAUAAUGACAGUACCGGGAGAAUAAGCUCCGGCUAACUCCGUG
rnacentral:rRNA from 1 species